rnacentral:rRNA from 1 species
GGACCCGCACAAGUAGUGGAGCAUGUGGUUUAAUUCGAUGCAACGCGAAGAACCUUACCAGGGUUUGACAUCCUGCGAACCUCUUGGAAACGAGAGGGUGCCUUCGGGAACGCAGUGACAGGUGGUACAUGGCUGUCGUCAGCUCGUGUCGUGAGAUGUUGGUUAAGUCCCGCAACGAGCGCAACCCACGUCUUUAGUUGCCAGCAUUUAGUUGGGCACUCUAGAGAGACCGCCGGUGAUAAACCGGAGGAAGGUGUGGAUGACGUCAAGUCAUCAUGCCCCUUACAUCCUGGGCUACACACGUACUACAAUGCUACGGACAAAGGGCAGCAAGUUCGCGAGGAC